rnacentral:ncRNA from 1 species
UCCCCAAACCUUGACAUCUACACAAGGGCACAUCGGAGAAGGAGAUCAAGGGAGGAGGAGACUAAGCUAGAGGGAAUGUGGGGGAGACUGAGCUAGAGGGAACACUAUGAGAAGGCUUGAGAAUGGUGAGUGGUAGUUCCACCAAUCCCACCCAUAAUUUUUACAUUGAGAUAUGGUUUUGCCAAGUUGCCUAUAUUUUUGUUUUCCCCUUGUCUACCAAAACAAAACAUUUUUUGACUGUGUGGAGCUUGGAAAGGUCAAGUUCAAUCUCAUUUGGCCCCCCUCUCUACCCUAGGUGCAAGAAAAAAAAUAGAACACACAAAUGUUUGUCAUCCAAAAUGGACCCUAAAGCCUUCUCCUCCUCACUAUUCUCACGAUCCAGGUCUGUCCACAUAGGCGUUGUCUACAUGGGCAUUGUUUACAUAGAGCUGUAUGUAGAAUGUUGAUUAACCAACUAUACAACUCUGUGUUCUAGGAGAUGAAUGCCUUUCAUAAUAUCUUGACCAACCCCAUGAUAAAUGAGAUAAUCUAGGACCUUUACUGGAAUUAAAAAAAAUACUUUUUUUGGAUGGACCCUAAGUGUCCCAUAUCCUAUGAUUCACACUUGUUGAUAGGCAGGAAGACUGAGGCUUUGCAGAGUGUCUCAAAAGCAUAGAGGAAAAUUUUCCCGAAGUCCAUGGCCUUGAUCAUGCAUAUAUUUGAGGGUCAUUCGAUCAUGUCAUAAGAUUUCCCAAAAAUCAAUCUAAAUGAAGAGGGUGUUGAAAUCAAGGAAAAAUUUGAGGGGAUUCCAUAACUUUUUCCCCUUCAAGAAAUAUCACAAACAACCUUCCAUCCAAAGUCAACAAAAUUGAAACCCAUUUUUGAGAAUUGUUGGUGCCUCAUCCUAUAACUGACGACAACAUUAGGAAAUUCGGAGACGUCAUCGGGGGCCCUGGGAAGAGUCAUCUUUUCUUUUUAACAACUUGCCCACCCUGAAAUCAACUCAACUGGAGAUAGGUUCUAGCAGCUGGAACAACAUCGUGCGUCUUCCAGUGUCCAGUGCAGCCUCGGUGGCCCUUGAAAAUCUGGAGGACCGAGUACCAUCCAUGCCCGGGCGUACUCAUAACGGCAUCAGGUCUCCAAGGUGACAGCUUCUAGUCAAUAGAACAAUGUAGGUAAGGGAAGUCAGAAAAAUAGAUCAGUAACUUCGGGAAAAGGAUUGGCUCUCAGGGCUAGGCCUAGGGGCCUGUGUCCUCAACCUGUGGUCUAUUGGUAGUCUUCCCGUGGGACUGUCAUUGAUUAAUGCUACCUCCUUUUGAAUGGUAGUGCAAUUAAUUAAUCUCCCUAUACAUCCCUAGGUAGUGGAUAAAUAUGUAGGUGCGGACACUGACCGAUCUCCCUAGAUCCACCUAGAUCUAGAACAAAGCAAGACAGAACAUGACUCUUUCCCUAGAUUUUGACCAUUGAAUUAACUAGGAAGCAAGAAGUAAAUAACAUACCUUAUUAUCAUUUCCUAUGGUCUUUGUUUCUCCACUUCACUUCAGUGCUCUCAUGCAGCCAAGACCAAGACAACACAAACCAACCAAAAUGAAGAUAGCACAAUCUAUUCAAUAGUCAAUCUAUGUAUAUGAUCAAGGAAUUAUACAAUAAAGUGGAAAUAGCUUUAUGGGAAAGGGACAUGCUAUUGUAUCAUAUUAAUGGAAAGUAAAUAUCACAACCUGAUCCUUGAUGUCGCAAACUUCCUUUCGAUGGCCCUUGGCUCCGACACACACACUUGCUCAAUCCUUGCAUGAAGAAGAUCAAAUCCUCUUGAUAGACCUGCUAGAGUCUCCAAGUUGUUGUUCAAUGUUGAGUCCUUCACACAAUUCUUUCACCAAUUCUCCAA